rnacentral:rRNA from 1 species
GAUGAACGCUGGCGGCGUGCCUAAUACAUGCAAGUAGAACGCUGAAGGAGGAGCUUGCUCUUCUGGAUGAGUUGCGAACGGGUGAGUAACGCGUAGGUAACCUGCCUGGUAGCGGGGGAUAACUAUUGGAAACGAUAGCUAAUACCGCAUGACAACAGUUAUUGCAUGAUAACUGUUUAAAAGGGGCAACUGCUCCACUACCAGAUGGACCUGCGUUGUAUUAGCUAGUUGGUGAGGUAACGGCUCACCAAGGCGACGAUACAUAGCCGACCUGAGAGGGGGAUCGGCCACACUGGGACUGGGAAACGGCCCAGACUCCUACGGGAGGCAGCAGUAGGGAAUCUUCGGCAAUGGACGGAAGUCUGACCGAGCAACGCCGCGUGAGUGAAGAAGGGUUUCGGAUCGUAAAGCUCUGUUGUAAGAGAAGAACGAGUGUGAGAGUGGAAAGUUCACACUGUGACGGUAUCUUACCAGAAAGGGACGGCUAACUACGUG